rnacentral:rRNA from 1 species
AAGGGUAGACCUCCCCCCUUGUGUAUUAUUACUUUGUUGCUUUGGCGAGCUGCCUUCGGGCCUUGUAUGCUCGCCAGAGAAUACCAAAACUCUUUUUAUUAAUGUCGUCUGAGUACUAUAUAAUAGUUAAAACUUUCAACAACGGAUCUCUUGGUUCUGGCAUCGAUGAAGAACGCAGCGAAAUGCGAUAAGUAAUGUGAAUUGCAGAAUUCAGUGAAUCAUCGAAUCUUUGAACGCACAUUGCGCCCCUUGGUAUUCCGGGGGGCAUGCCUGUUCGAGCGUCAUUUCAACCCUCAAGCUUAGCUUGGUAUUGAGUCUAUGUCAGUAAUGGCAGGCUCUAAAAUCAGUGGCGGCGCCGCUGGGUCCUGAACGUAGUAAUAUCUCUCGUUACAGGUUCUCGGUGUGCUUCUGCCAAAACCCAAAUUUUUCUAUGGUUGACCUCGGAUCAGGUAGGGAUACCCGCUGAACUUAAGCAUAUCAAUAAGCGGAGGAAAAGAAA